rnacentral:rRNA from 1 species
GAUGAACGCUGGCGGCGUGCCUAAUACAUGCAAGUCGAGCGAACAGACGAGGAGCUUGCUCCUCUGACGUUAGCGGCGGACGGGUGAGUAACACGUGGAUAACCUACCUAUAAGACUGGGAUAACUUCGGGAAACCGGAGCUAAUACCGGAUAAUAUAUUGAACCGCAUGGUUCAAUAGUGAAAGACGGUUUUGCUGUCACUUAUAGAUGGAUCCGCGCCGCAUUAGCUAGUUGGUAAGGUAACGGCUUACCAAGGCGACGAUGCGUAGCCGACCUGAGAGGGUGAUCGGCCACACUGGAACUGAGACACGGUCCAGACUCCUACGGGAGGCAGCAGUAGGGAAUCUUCGCAAUGGGCGAAAGCCUGACGGAGCAACGCCGCGUGAGUGAUGAAGGUCUUCGGAUCGUAAAACUCUGUUAUUAGGGAAGAACAAAUGUGUAAGUAACUAUGCACGUCUUGACGGUACCUAAUCAGAAAGCCACGGCUAACUACGUG